ensembl:lncRNA
CAAUCAUUUCUGAUUCACAGACGUGUUUAGUCCAGGGUGUAGGAUUUAGCGGUCAAUUUGGAAUUAGGAAUCAAAUGUAGUUCAGGGACUUACAGCUGUCCUUAAUUAGCCAAUGACAUUAGAAGGGUCUGGGAUUUGUAGGAGCAACCAAAAAGCCUGCCAGAUACAGCAAAAGGGAUAUUAAACUAGGGCUUAUAUCGGCCAUUAGGUCUGAUUACUGGUGAAGUUUCGAGGCGCAAAAUGGCCGUGAUGAUUGGAAUCGCUUUCAGGCUCACUUCGGUCUAAAGGCUAUGGAAAAUACAUCUCUCCAACAGCUCAAUUGCAAGCGCAGCUGACCGAAGAGCAACAGAAACAUCUGGCCUCCAUCCUGCAAAAGCAACUGGCCCCCAUGCCCCAGGCACCUCAGAAAAUGUGGUAUCCAACUCAAAUGCCCCAGCAGGAAAAGCAACUGGCCCCCAUGCCCCAGGCACCUCAGAAAAUGUGGUAUCCAGUUCAAAUUCCCCAGCAGCAAAAGCAACCAGCUACUGGGCCUCAGCAGCAGACGGAACUGACCACCAUGCCCCAGAAGCAACAGGCUCCAAUGGAUAUACCGCAGCAACAACCAACAGCUAUGCCCCAGCAAACAUGGUAUCCAGCUCAAAUACAGCAGAAGCAACCGGCCACCAUUCACCAGCAAGUGUGGCAUCCAGCUCAAUUGCCCCAGCAGCAAAAGCAACCAGCUACUGAACCUCAGCAGCAGAAGGAACCGGCCGCCAUAAGCCAGCAACCUCAGCAAGUGUUGCAUCCAGCUCAAAAGCCGCAGAAGCAACUGACUGCCAUGCCCCAGCAAGUGUGGUAUCCAGCUCAAAAGCCCCAGCAGCAGAAUCAACCCGCCGCUGAACCUCAGCAGCAGAUUGACCUGACCGCCAUGCCCCAGCCUCAGCAAAUGUGGCAUCCAGCUCAAUUUCCCCAGGAGCAACCAGUCCCUAUGCGUCAACUGCAGAAGGAUCUGACCGCCAUUCCACCACAACUGUGGCAUUCUGCUCAAAUGCCCCAGCUGCAUAAGCAACCGGCUGCCAUGCUUCAGCAAGUGUGGCAACUGGCCCCCAUUCCCCAGCAGCCUCAUGACGUGUGGUAUCCAGCUAAAAUGGUCCAGAAGCAACGAGCCGCUGCAGCUCGGCGGCAGAAGGAACUGACCACCGUGCCUCAGCAAGUGUGGUAUCCAGCUCAAAUGCCCCAGGAGCAGAAGCAACUGGCCACCAUAACGCAGCAAGAGUUGCAUCCAGUGCACCUUCCCCAGCAGCAUCAGGAACCGGCCACCAUACCCCAGCAAGUGAGAUAUCCAGGUCAAAUGCCCCAGAAGCAUCUGGCCUCCAUGCCUCUGCCGCAGAAGCAACCGACCGCCAUGCCCCAGCAAGAGUGGCAUCCAGCUCAAAUGCUGCAGACGCAACUGGCCCCAAUGCCUAUCCAGCAGAAACAACCAACAGCUUUACUCCAGCAAGCAUGGUAUCCAGCUCAAAUGUCCCAGCAGCAGAAACAACUGGCCACCAUGCUGCAGAAGCAACCAGCCCCAAUGCCUCAACCGCAGAAGGAACAGGCCACCCUGCCCCCGCAAGUGUGGCAUCCAGCUCAAAUGCCACAGCAGCAAAAGCAACCAGCUGCCAUGCUUCAGCAAGUGUGGCAUCUGGCACAGAAGCAACCGGCCCCUAUACCCCAGCAGCCUCACGACGUGUGGUAUCCAGCUAAAAUGGUCCAGAAGCAACAAGUCGCUGCACUGACCGCCAUGCCGCAGAAGCAUCAGCAAGUGUGGCAUCCAGCUCAAUCUCCGAAGAAGCAACCGGCAUCCACCCCUCUACCGCAGGAGCAGCCGCCCGCCGUAUCCCAGCAAGUGUGGUAUCCAGCUCAAAUGUCCCAGCAGCCGAAGCUACACACUGCCAUGCCACAGCAGCAACUGACCGCCAUGCCACAGCAAUUAUGGCAUGUAGCUCAAAUGACCCAGAAGCAACUGGCCCCAAAUUCUCAGCAGAAGCACUACCAAAGCACUGAAGAUGGUGCCUCUGGUAGCGCUCAGGCCAGCAUCGUUGAACAGUCGGGUGUCAUCCCAAGCUAUUCCUACAGUUCCAAAUCGCACUACGAGAAUGGCAGAACUGUCUCUUCCCAAAUCAGCUACACUCCUAGGGAGGCUAUUUCUGUUGACAGUGGAAAUGCUCCCAAGGACGGUUAUGUUAGCAUUGGUGCACCAAGCAUAUAUCCACCACUAGUGAAGGAUUCUGCAAGGAAAAUGUAAUGGAUUCAUCCUCUAGAAGCUCUAAUGGACGUUGCUGGUGCUCUUGCUACUCUAGAGUUAUGGAAAACAUCAACAAUUUUACUUUCAAAAAUGCCUUGUCUCUUUGAAAUAAUGAUUCUCGUGUCCAUUGCUUGCGAAUUGAGAACAGGUGGUGUGCAGUCUUGUAAAAAUGACUGUUCAGUUAAUUCUUUGGUUGUUCAUCUUUUACCUUUGCUACUGGUUGUUCAAAAUAAAAGCUUGGGUCUACAUGAGAGCAUUUGUGAAGGGGUGAGUUGUCAGACAUUCAUCAUAUGUUCAUACUUUAGAUGUAGGCAUGCAUUGUAUACAGUGAGACUGUCUUCAACCUCAGUGUAAGUUGUUGGUGAGUAAAUUAACAUAGGAAAUUGUUUUUAGAUGGUCAGACCAUGGCUCAUUUAGCUAUUAGGAUUGUGUGAACAUUUUGGUUUCAAACUUAUAUUUGGCCUUAUACUAUAGCCCACACCACAAAUGGCAACGAGUCAAAUCAGUUUAGAAGUGUCUGUCCAGUAUCUAGGUGAUGCCUCAAAUGUUUUGGAUGCUUCAACCCCUGUUGGCACAUCUACAUCGAUACUUCUGUUUGUAUGGGUUACCUUCAGAUGUGUCUUACAACUGUGGGGUCAAAGAGGGAAAUUAACUAUGUUCGGGAGUCAAUUUUCCAUAAUGUUUGUAGGACAAACCGUUCUGACGCUAAAUGUUUUUGAGACUGCAUUUUGAGGUGUCUGACCAACACCACUGUAGCUCGGCCCCUGUCCAGCGCAGAUGCUUAAGGGCGACAGGCGGCUGCAGUGGAUUGAGACGCAGCCCAUUCUAAAUGUUCUAGCUUCAACUGGAUUUUAUGGGCCUCAAUACUCUUCACCUGUAGCCCAUUCCUCCUAGUCCAUUUAUUGUACCACAGGCUCCUAUAGAAUGGAUUCGGUGUAUUUGAUUUUUAUGAUGCCUGGAGUGGUUUAACCUAUCAAUCAACAAAUAUAGUCUGUACAGAAUGUCUUCAAACAUGUACAUUUUCUUAACCAGUUAUUAAUCUUACUGCAUAGUAUGAGAAUUCAGCCCUUAAAUGGAUCCAUUAAGUUCCAAAGAGGAAGCUGGUAGGCACUAGCAUGACAGUUUAACUAGCAUAAGAUGUCACCCAUGACUUUUUGUAACUUGACAUACUUGCCUGUUGUAGUUGACUGUUUGGCCACAGACUCAUGAACACGAAAUUGUAAAAGCGUUGAAUUUUCUGCAAGGAGUUACACUUUGCUGUUGGACAAUCUCUUGUCUAGCGUACUUCAA